UACGAAGGGGGCUAGUGUUGCUCGGAAUCACUGGGCGUAAAGCGCACGUAGGCGGAUUGCUAAGUCAGGGGUGAAAUCCUGGAGCUCAACUCCAGAACUGCCUUUGAUACUGGCGACCUUGAGUCCGGGAGAGGUGAGUGGAACUGCGAGUGUAGAGGUGAAAUUCGUAGAUAUUGGGAAGAACACCGGUGGCGAAGGCGGCUCACUGGCUCGGUAACUGACGCUCAUGCACGACAGCGUGGGGAUCAAACAGG
rnacentral:rRNA from 1 species